GUCCAUGAGAUACUAAAUGAAAUAGUAAAACCCUCUCUGGUGUUCAAGGAUUUUUUCCAUAUUGGGACAGCACAUGGGGUUUUGAGUGGGUUUUGGUGUCAGACCAACUUGCAGUCAAAUCAUGGCUCCAUUUUCUAGUGGCAACAAUGUGAUUCUGGGCACAGAAAACUCUUCUGUGCCUUUGGGAAAUUCCCAGUUUCGGCCAAGCUCGUGCAUAUCCAAGCCGGAGAGACUAAAAUGCCCCAGAGACGGGCAGUGACUAUUUGCCCGCUGGAAGGGUUGAGGAUUAUCUCAGGAAGGAGCCGGAGCCUCCUCUCCCUCGCUUCCGUCUCGCGCUCAUCUCUUCACCUGCUUCUUAUUCCCCCGGCAAAAUCUUUAAUUAUCCACCAGGUCGCGGCAACUCAGGGAAAGGGCACCGCAUCCUGGCGUAAUCCCUGCGACCUUUAGGAAUGGCCCAUCUCCACGGGCCACCUGAGAACGCUCACAGCAUGGCAGCUGGUAAUCCAGGGGACAGAGAGCCCGAGAGCACGAAGCCAGAAGCCACAGUCUUUAUACAACCUCAUCUCAGAGAGAACACUCUACUGCUUUUAUCAUCUUCUCUUCAUGAAAACCUUUUCUCUAGUUCUGACCUCAGGAGAAAUGAAGAACAGAUGCUCGCACAGCUUUUAAUAAAAAGGUUAUUAAGUCACUGCUCAUCUUCGUUCUACCGUCGGGGGCGGUGGGGACAGAAAUUGUUGCUUCGUAGCUCUUCCGCUUGGCCCUGGUUCACCUGUAUUUCUGAUAACAGGCAGCCCCAUUCUGUCGAUGAGUGGAUCAAGACUGUAAGUUAUAUUCAGUAUUUUCAGGAGUUAAUGUGGGCCUCCAUGUUUUCCCAGUGACUUCAGAAAUCAGGAAAAUAAACCAAGGAUUUCUGUUAUGGCUUCUGCUUACAUUGUGUGAGGUGGAAAAGAGUUUAGGAUUUAGUAAAAGGAGGAGUCAACCCUUAACUUCCCCAUUUGUCACCUUAGGAUUUUUCCUGUAAAUAUCUCAGUGCUCUUUAUAAGAACAUUUUUUAAAAAUCCUAAUUCCCCUGGAAAUCAAUGUUAAAUAUCAUUGUUCACAAAGGAGAGAUGGAAGCACAAGUAAACCAAGCAGAGAAAACCAAAAGAUGAAACAACACAGAAUGACUAAAAGAGUGGGGCACGGACUGGACCAGAAGAAGCUGAGGAAGUUUCAGGGAGGAAGUACCGCUUUGAUUUGGUUUCUAAAGGGCUUCACCCUGCCCACCAAACUGAAAAUCACAAUUAAGCCAAGACAUCACCUUACUCAUGUUUGAGUCAUCCAAGCUGAAAAAUCUACCUGGCACUUAGCAGAUGUUCAUUAAACAGUGUGCUGAGCCAGUCUGCAAAGAAGUAUGCAUGACACUCUGUGUGUAUGUGCAUGUGUGCGUGUGUGGGUGGGUCUAACACAGGAUAUGUAUCUCUCCUCUCUUGCAUAUACUCUAUAUACUCUACCAAACUUGAAAAUGAGUUAAGUAUUUGCCAUUUUACACAUUUCUAAACCAGCACAAAUGGGGAAACUAGAUCUAGAUGAACUAUAACUUGCUUAAAACUCCGUAUCAACUGAAUGGCAGAACUGGGAGGUAAAUGCAAGAGAUCCUAUCCCCCAGGAAGUCUUUCAAGGUACCCUGUUUUCCUUUAAUUUCCAGAAUACUCAGUAUUUUAAGAAUAUCAAUAUCAAUCCUAAAUUAAUGAAGUAACAUUUUUUCUAAACAUAUACAAGCAUUUGUUGGCCCCAGGUAAAUGUGGGAAGUCAGCCAUUUAUCUUCAGGACACCCUGUGUCCUCCUUCUACACCCUACUCCCCAGGCCUCUGAGUCCCCAUUAGGCACAGUGAAAGACCUACCAUAAUUUUCCUCCAAUAUUGCAAAUGAUCCCUCCCCUUUUCCCCAUCACAGCUUUUAUUCCUAAUGUGGCUAUCCCCAGCUGCAUGCCACAGAAGAAACUUGCUGGAUGAAAUCACCCUUGCAUUGCAAUAGGAUCUCAGGAAGGGGGCAGGAGCUGUGGAAACAGGGCGACCCUGUGUCCAGACUCUGCUUUGCCACUUAGAAGGUGUAUGGCCUAGGGCAAGUUCUGUCCCCUCCCUCUCAGUUCCCUUGUCUGCAGGACAGGACACUACUAUUCAU